GAUGAAGAACGCAGCGAAAUGCGAUAAGUAAUGCGAAUUGCAGAAUCCGUGAGUCAUCGAAUCUUUGAACGCACAUUGCGCCCCUUGGUAUCCCGAGGGGCAUGCCUGUUCGAGCGUCAUUUCACCGCUCAAGCCUGGCUUGGUGUUGGGCGACGUCCCCUUUGGGGACGCGCCUCGAAACGCUCGGCGGCGUGGCACCGGCUUUAAGCGUAGCAGAAUCUUUCGCUUUGGAAGUCGGGGCCCCGUCUGCCGGAAGACCUACUCGCAAGGUUGACCUCGGAUCAGGCAGGGAUACCCGCUGAACUUAAGCAUAUCAAUAAGCGGAGGA
rnacentral:misc_RNA from 1 species